UUUGAAACAGUAUAACCCCAUUUGACCUUUUGACCCUUGGUCAGGACUGGUCAAUGCCGGCCAAUUUAAAAUCCACAGGUUUUGACAACUCAUUGUGAAAACCUUCGGUUUGAUGAACGUAAGUCCCUGGGAGCUUUUAACUUCCAUAAAGUACUGAGAAAAUACAUAUUUAACUUUCAAAAUAUCUUAAAAAAGCCUUAAUAAAAACUUUACACCCGGACCGAAAAACAAUUUACAAAAUAGUUUUAGCCUCCGGUAAACAGAUAUUGGGUUUCCAUUAUAGUAUUUCGCAAUAUUGCAUCAGCCGGUUACGACUAGUUUUAUCAAUACACAUAACAUUCUUUACUGUUUUAAGUAUUAUAACGAAAAAAGUGGAAUUUAAACAACUGAAAUGUAUUCAAGAAUUCUACAAAGAUAUUAUUAGCCAGACGAAUUACAACGUGAAAAAUCCAAGACUUUAUAAAGACAACGAACGUUUAACACAAAAUAUAUCAUCGGAAGACUUCAAGAAAAGAAUGUUAACCAUAACAUGGUUGAAUAUCAUAAUAUUUUCAUGUUGUUAGAAUCACUCAACCGUUUGAGUAUGCCAUACUCAUACGCAUGGUUGAAUAUCAUAAUACUUUCAUGUUGUUAGAAUCACUCAACCGUUUGAGUAUGUCAUAGGCAUAUGCAUGAUUGAAUAUCAUAAUACUUUUAUGUUAUGAAAAUCACUCAACCAUAGGAUUAUACCAUAAUCAUACACAUGACUUAAUGUUAUGAUAUUUUGAUGUUGUUGAAAUCACUCAACCGUUUGAGUAUGCCAUAGGCAUAUGCAUGAUUGAAUAUACGCUUUUGGGAGUAGUAUGGAAUAUAACGUUUAUGGGUGCAUUUUUGAUAGUAGUAAAGAAUAUUAUGUUUUUGAUACAUUUUAACCCUUUUUAUUAAAAUAAUUUAUAAUUGUUUGUUCAUUAUGUUUUACAUUGUUUACUCUCAGUGUUUUAUACAAUAAAUCAUAAAUGUUUAUACCAUUUUGUAACAUUUUAAUGAAAAAUAAACAAUAAUAACCACAAAA